rnacentral:rRNA from 1 species
GAUGAACGCUGGCGGCGUGCCUAAUACAUGCAAGUCGAGCGAACAGACGAGGAGCUUGCUCCUCUGACGUUAGCGGCGGACGGGCGAGUAACACGUGGAUAACCUACCUAUAAGACUGGGAUAACUUCGGGAAACCGGAGCUAAUACCGGAUAAUAUAUUGAACCGCAUGGUUCAAUAGUGAAAGACGGUUUUGCUGUCACUUAUAGAUGGAUCCGCGCCGCAUUAGCUAGUUGGUAAGGUAACGGCUUACCAAGGCAACGAUGCGUAGCCGACCUGAGAGGGUGAUCGGCCACACUGGAACUGAGACACGGUCCAGACUCCUACGGGAGGCAGCAGUAGGGAAUCUUCCGCAAUGGGCGAAAGCCUGACGGAGCAACGCCGCGUGAGUGAUGAAGGUCUUCGGAUCGUAAAACUCUGUUAUUAGGGAAGAACAAAUGUGUAAGUAACGAUGCACGUCUUGACGGUACCUAAUCAGAAAGCCACGGCUAACUACGUGC